AAACCGUGAUGAGAACACUUUAAAAGAAGGUCUUUGAAGCGUUCCAUGCAUCAAGAAAAUGAUUCAUUGGGUCUUUGGCAAAACUGGAAGAUAUCGUUCCUAAGUUU
rnacentral:snoRNA from 1 species